rnacentral:rRNA from 1 species
UUUAAUGAGAAUUUGAUCCUGGUUCAGGGUGAAUGCUAGCGGCGUGCCUAAAAUAUGCAAGUCGAACGGGUAUAGCAAUAUAUCCGUGGCAAACGGCUGAGUAACACGUAGGAAUCUACCCCCAAGUAAGGGACAACCCAUCGAAAGAUGGACUAAUACCUUAUGUGAUGGCAACAUCAAAGAUUUAUCGCUUGGGGAUGAGCCUGCGGUCUAUCAGGUAGUUGGUAGGGUAAAUGCCUACCAAGCCUAUGACGGAUAGCUGGUAUAAGUGUAUGUCCAGCCAGAAGGGCACUGAGAAACGGGCCCUACUCCUACGGGAGGCAGCAAUGGGGAAUAUUGCGCAAUGGACGAAAGUCUGACGCAGCGACGUCGCGUGAGGGAUGAAUGCCUUCGGGUUGUAAACCUCGUUAUAAGCACCGGCAAACUACGUGCCAGCAGCAGCGGUCAUACGUAGGGUGCAAGCAUUACCCGGUUUUACUGGGCGUAAAGAGUCUGUAGGCGGUUGUUCAAGUUGGAAGUUAAAUGUCUCGGCCCAACCGAGAAGCGGCUUUCAAUACUGUUCAACUAAGAGAUAGCUAGGGGGUAACGGAACGUAUGGUGUAGCGGUGAAAUGCGUUGAUAUCAUACGGAACACCUAGGGGGAAGCCAGUUACCUGGGGCUAUUCUGACGCUGAGAGACGAAAGCGUGGGGAGCAAAACGGAUUAGAUACCCGUGUAGUCCACGCCCUAAACGAUGCCUGCUAGAUGCUUGUCACUUGUGAUGGGUGUCGAAGCUAACGCGUUAAGCAGGCCGCCUGGGGAGUACGAUCGCAAGGUUAAAACUCAAAGGAAUUGGCGGGGACCCGCACAAGCGGUGGAGCAUGCUCUUUAAUUGGCUGAU